UACAGAGGUCUCAAGCGUUGUUCGGAUUCAUUGGGCGUAAAGGGUGCGUAGGCGGCGCGGUAAGUCGGGGUGUGAAAUCUUGGAGCUUAACUCCGAAACUGCAUUCGAUACUGCCGUGCUUGAGGACUGGAGAGGAGACUGGAAUUUACGGUGUAGCGGUGAAAUGCGUAGAUAUCGUAAGGAAGACCAGUGGCGAAGGCGGGUCUCUGGACAGUUCCUGACGCUGAGGCACGAAGGUCAGGGGGAGCAAAACGGGG
rnacentral:rRNA from 1 species